rnacentral:misc_RNA from 1 species
GAUGAAGAACGCAGCGGAAUGCGAUAAGUAAUGUGAAUUGCAGAAUUCAGUGAAUCAUCGAAUCUUUGAACGCACCUUGCACCCUUUGGUAUUCCGAAGGGUAUGCUCGUUUGAGUGUCAUUGUACUCUCACACUUCUAAUUCCUUUCGGGAUUGGGAGCGGUGGACUUGGGUGUUGCUGCUUUAGUUGUGGCUCACCUCAAAUAAGUUAGUGCAACUCUUGGUUGGACAUAGUACGGCGUGAUAAGUGUCUUCGCCGGCGCCUCUGUAAGGAGGGUGGCCGAUCGGGAGCUCUGUGCUUCAAACCGUCUUCGGACAAUCUUUGACAACUUGACCUCAAAUCGAGUAGGACUACCCGCUGAACUUAAGCAUAUCAAUAAGCGGAGGA